rnacentral:rRNA from 2 species
CGACGAACUCUGGUAUUGAUUGGUGCUUGCAUCAUGAUUUACAUUUGAGUGAGUGGCGAACUGGUGAGUAACACGUGGGAAACCUGCCCAGAAGCGGGGGAUAACACCUGGAAACAGAUGCUAAUACCGCAUAACAACUUGGACCGCAUGGUCCGAGUUUGAAAGAUGGCUUCGGCUAUCACUUUUGGAUGGUCCCGCGGCGUAUUAGCUAGAUGGUGGGGUAACGGCUCACCAUGGCAAUGAUACGUAGCCGACCUGAGAGGGUAAUCGGCCACAUUGGGACUGAGACACGGCCCAAACUCCUACGGGAGGCAGCAGUAGGGAAUCUUCCACAAUGGACGAAAGUCUGAUGGAGCAACGCCGCGUGAGUGAAGAAGGGUUUCGGCUCGUAAAACUCUGUUGUUAAAGAAGAACAUAUCUGAGAGUAACUGUUCAGGUAUUGACGGUAUUUAACCAGAAAGCCACGGCUAACUACGUGCCAGCAGCCGCGGUAAUACGUAGGUGGCAAGCGUUGUCCGGAUUUAUUGGGCGUAAAGCGAGCGCAGGCGGUUUUUUAAGUCUGAUGUGAAAGCCUUCGGCUCAACCGAAGAAGUGCAUCGGAAACUGGGAAACUUGAGUGCAGAAGAGGACAGUGGAACUCCAUGUGUAGCGGUGAAAUGCGUAGAUAUAUGGAAGAACACCAGUGGCGAAGGCGGCUGUCUGGUCUGUAACUGACGCUGAGGCUCGAAAGUAUGGGUAGCAAACAGGAUUAGAUACCCUGGUAGUCCAUACCGUAAACGAUGAAUGCUAAGUGUUGGAGGGUUUCCGCCCUUCAGUGCUGCAGCUAACGCAUUAAGCAUUCCGCCUGGGGAGUACGGCCGCAAGGCUGAAACUCAAAGGAAUUGACGGGGGCCCGCACAAGCGGUGGAGCAUGUGGUUUAAUUCGAAGCUACGCGAAGAACCUUACCAGGUCUUGACAUACUAUGCAAAUCUAAGAGAUUAGACGUUCCCUUCGGGGACAUGGAUACAGGUGGUGCAUGGUUGUCGUCAGCUCGUGUCGUGAGAUGUUGGGUUAAGUCCCGCAACGAGCGCAACCCUUAUUAUCAGUUGCCAGCAUUAAGUUGGGCACUCUGGUGAGACUGCCGGUGACAAACCGGAGGAAGGUGGGGAUGACGUCAAAUCAUCAUGCCCCUUAUGACCUGGGCUACACACGUGCUACAAUGGAUGGUACAACGAGUUGCGAACUCGCGAGAGUAAGCUAAUCUCUUAAAGCCAUUCUCAGUUCGGAUUGUAGGCUGCAACUCGCCUACAUGAAGUCGGAAUCGCUAGUAAUCGCGGAUCAGCAUGCCGCGGUGAAUACGUUCCCGGGCCUUGUACACACCGCCCGUCACACCAUGAGAGUUUGUAACACCCAAAGUCGGUGG